rnacentral:lncRNA from 1 species
UUCCUCAAAGCUGCGGAAUUUGCAGACGGAGCAGGCGAAUUGGAUCCUGUCCAUGGCGCGGUCACGCAUCCUGUCCCUCCUCCUCUGCUUCUCUCUCUUCUUCUUCAUCUCCUCAUCAUCAUCCUCGUAGCCAUCUCCGGAUGCUUUGUCAGCUUCGUCUCCUGACUUCUCCUCUCCUUCGCCCUCAUCGUUGUCGGUGUCGUCGCCGUCGCUGUCGCUCUUCGCCUGUUUGCUGUCAGGUUCAUCACCACUCUGAGACUGCUUCCGUUUGCGUCCCCCUUCGCUCUCGGAUCGGACCCCGGAGCGGUUUCGAAA